rnacentral:rRNA from 1 species
CCUACGGGAGGCAGCAGUGAGGAAUAUUGGUCAAUGGACGCAAGUCUGAACCAGCCAUGCCGCGUGCAGGAAGACGGCUCUAUGAGUUGUAAACUGCUUUUGUACGAGGGUAAAUGCAGAUACGUGUAUCUGGCUGAAAGUAUCGUACGAAUAAGGAUCGGCUAACUCCGUGCCAGCAGCCGCGGUAAUACGGAGGAUUCAAGCGUUAUCCGGAUUUAUUGGGUUUAAAGGGUGCGUAGGCGGUCGGAUAAGUUAGAGGUGAAAUCCCGAGGCUCAACUUCGGAAUUGCCUCUGAUACUGUUCGGCUAGAGAGUAGUUGCGGUAGGCGGAAUGUAUGGUGUAGCGGUGAAAUGCUUAGAGAUCAUACAGAACACCGAUUGCGAAGGCAGCUUACCAAGCUACUUCUGACGUUGAGGCACGAAAGCGUGGGGAGCAAACAGGAUUAGAUACCCCAGUAGUC